UGCGACAAAGCACCAGCUCUUUCACACCUAGCAACCAACUGCGUCACCAGGAUAAACCGUGCCGCUCGGUGCAGAUCCCUCCGCCCCCUCCCUCCGCCGCUCACCGAGACACGGCCCACACUCAGCGCCGAGCUCCGUUACUACAACUGGGAGUCUCUCCCCUCCUUGAUAAUCUUUGAUCUUCCCCUACACCCAGCCUCUCUUUAGAGUCUCGUCUCUCAUCCUCUCCCCCAAGUCUCCCUCCCCUCCCCUCCCCUCUCCCCUCCCCACCGCUCAUCUCCUCCUGCUGUUCCACUGACCUGGGAGAAGUGUUUCUCUCUCAUCUUCACCUCCUCCUCCACCAGCCUCUGCCUGUGGGCCGUCUCGUCCUGAAGCCUCCUCUCGGCCUCCUCUCGCCUCCUCCGCUCCUCCUCCAACAUCUGCCGCCGAGCCUGCACCUCCCUCUCCUGGGAGCGUCGGGACAGGAGAAAGAGGAACAGAUGGAGGAGGAGAGAAGAAACAAUAAUGGGGAAAAAGGGAGACGGGGAGAACAUGUUAAUGGGAAACAGCGCUGGAGUGUGACAGGGCUGCAGCACUGAUGCUUGAUGAUCCCUGACCAACCUCACCAUCUGAUUUAGACUUCAACAGCUGAGAGAGGAAAGACACGUUAUUUUAUCACCCUUUAAAAUGAGCUGGCUGAGUUUGAGCUGCAGCUGAGAGAUGACUUCACCUUCAGCCUCCACCUGCUCCUGCUCGGCCCUCCUCUCCGCCUGCAGCAGGGCCUGCUCCAUCUCCACCUACAGACAAAUACACAAACCACACAGCUACCGUCAAGCUAAAUAAAUGCUUGAAAGUGAAAGAGCCACCACUCCUCUCAGUAUGAGGCUGCUGCUCCAGUUCACUGACUCUGUGCUUCAAGUCAUCAACCCUGGCCAAGAUCCUGUUCCUCUCCUCCUCCAGCUUCUGGACUCUAUCUAUCCCCUGUAGAGACAUCCCCCCUCCUGUGUCCGAGCAGGUUCCUCUAGCAGCUCCCAGCAACCCACUCCUCACCAGCUCAGCAGCUCCGUCCUCAGGAUUAUAGUCUGCACACAGACUCAGGAUGGUCUCCAGUCUCUGUCGCUCCUGUAGAAGAGGUGUGAGACGUAAGCAUGAGCUCCGAAAUUAUGGAUCAUAUUGCAGAUUAGCUUCACGUGUCCUUGUGUGACAUUGUCCCAUUUAGGCAGCUGUCCCUCUGCCACUGGCACGGGACAACGGUAACCUGAUAGCAGGAGGGCCGAAGCUAAUGUAGUCCGUCUCUCAGGAGGGGCUUCGUAGUAAAACCUGUCAGAGCUCGACUUGUUUCUGAACAGAGAACUGUGAUAACCGUUCAAAGAAUAAAUCUAACACAUUGGAAAAUUUGGUUUUGUAGCUGCAAGUAUCUCAGUUUACUCCACAUUAGCUGACAUUGUCUUUUACGCUGUGAUCAGAGACGCUACAGUUUUAUAUCCUUGUUUUGUUUUUCUCUAUGGCACCCUUUAUUUGUUUGAUAGGCCACAUGGUUGUAGCUUGCGGGCAUCCAGUUGUCUCUCAUUACACCAAACAAUGGCAUGCUUGCUUUAAUCUACCAAAAUAGUGCAGAAUAUAUAAUCAUCGUUCCAGUCUGACAAUAAUUAGGAGUCUGGCAAGUCUAGGACCUAUUGUGUCUGAUGUACCCCUCUCUGCACUUCACAUUUGUCUGGCAUGUGAAUUAUUCAGGCUCCAACUCUGUGAUGACUGUUGAUUUUAACUGCAAAAUUUACACCACAGACUGUUGCUUACUCUACCUGAGGUAGAGCAGCAGUGCCACUGAAAGUGAAACCUCAUUUAUGAACAGAUUUAGUAAAAGGCACAAUGGCUUGAUAUUAUGAUGUAAAACAGUGGAAUGUUAAAGAUUUAAAUCUGUCUCUCCAUAAAGUCCUGUAUAAAGCUACAGAUCACAGUAAAGCUGAUUUUAAGCUGGA